AUUGAACGCUGGCGGCAGGCCUAACACAUGCAAGUCGAACGAUUGGCGGACGGGUGUGUAAUGUCUCGGCAACUGCCUGAUGGAGGGGGAUAACUACUUGAACCGGUUUCUAAUCCCGCAUCCCCUCGGAUCUGCCCAGAUGGGAUUUGCUUGUGGGUGGGGUAAUGGCUCACCUGGGCGACGAUCCCUAGCUGGUCUGAGAGGAUGACCAGCCGCACUGGACCGGAGCCACGGUCCAGACUCCUACGGAGGGAAGGUGUGGGGAGUAUAGGACAAUGGGCGCAAGCCUGAUGCGACCGUGCCGGGUGGGUAAAGAAGGCCUUCGGGUUGUAAGCCACUUUCAGCGGGGAGGCGUUACCCGCAGAGGAAGCACCGGCUAACUACGUGCCAGCAGCCGCGGUAAUUC
rnacentral:rRNA from 1 species